rnacentral:rRNA from 1 species
UUGAACGCUGGCGGCAGGCCUAACACAUGCAAGUCGAACGGUAACAGGAAACAGCUUGCUGUUUCGCUGACGAGUGGCGGACGGGUGAGUAAUGUCUGGGAAACUGCCUGAUGGAGGGGGAUAACUACUGGAAACGGUAGCUAAUACCGCAUAACGUCGCAAGACCAAAGAGGGGGACCUUCGGGCCUCUUGCCAUCGGAUGUGCCCAGAUGGGAUUAGCUUGUUGGUGGGGUAACGGCUCACCAAGGCGACGAUCCCUAGCUGGUCUGAGAGGAUGACCAGCCACACUGGAACUGAGACACGGUCCAGACUCCUACGGGAGGCAGCAGUGGGGAAUAUUGCACAAUGGGCGCAAGCCUGAUGCAGCCAUGCCGCGUGUAUGAAGAAGGCCUUCGGGUUGUAAAGUACUUUCAGCGGGGAGGAAGGGAGUAAAGUUAAUACCUUUGCUCAUUGACGUUACCCGCAGAAGAAGCACCGGCUAACUCCGUGCCAGCAGCCGCGGUAAUACGGAGGGUGCAAGCGUUAAUCGGAAUUACUGGGCGUAAAGCGCACGCAGGCGGUUUGUUAAGUCAGAUGUGAAAUCCCCGGGCUCAACCUGGGAACUGCAUCUGAUACUGGCAAGCUUGAGUCUCGUAGAGGGGGGUAGAAUUCCAGGUGUAGCGGUGAAAUGCGUAGAGAUCUGGAGGAAUACCGGUGGCGAAGGCGGCCCCCUGGACGAAGACUGACGCUCAGGUGCGAAAGCGUGGGGAGCAAACAGGAUUAGAUACCCUGGUAGUCCACGCCGUAAACGAUGUCGACUUGGAGGUUGUGCCCUUGAGGCGUGGCUUCCGGAGCUAACGCGUUAAGUCGACCGCCUGGGGAGUACGGCCGCAAGGUUAAAACUCAAAUGAAUUGACGGGGGCCCGCACAAGCGGUGGAGCAUGUGGUUUAAUUCGAUGCAACGCGAAGAACCUUACCUGGUCUUGACAUCCACGGAAGUUUUCAGAGAUGAGAAUGUGCCUUCGGGAACCGUGAGACAGGUGCUGCAUGGCUGUCGUCAGCUCGUGUUGUGAAAUGUUGGGUUAAGUCCCGCAACGAGCGCAACCCUUAUCCUUUGUUGCCAGCGGUCCGGCCGGGAACUCAAAGGAGACUGCCAGUGAUAAACUGGAGGAAGGUGGGGAUGACGUCAAGUCAUCAUGCCCCUUAUGACCUGGGCUACACACGUACUACAAUGGCUAUAACAAAGAGAAGCGAGACAGUGAUGUGGAGCAAAACUCAAAAAAAUAGUCUCAGUUCGGAUUGAAGGCUGAAAUUCGCCUUCAUGAAGCUGGAAUUGCUAGUAAUGGCAGGUCAGCAUACUGCCGUGAAUACGUUCCCGGGCCUUGUACACACCGCCCGUCACACCAUGAGAGCCGGGGGGACCCGAAGUCGGUAGUCUAACCGCAAGGAGGACGCCGCCGAAGGUAAAACUGGUGAUUGGGGUG